rnacentral:lncRNA from 11 species
CUACCAAGGACACACUGCAAACACGCAUAAUCCUGGCCAUUCCCAGAAAGGUCUGCUUGUGUAAAGUCUCAAAGUUUACAAAAGAAGCAGAAGGAUGGGAGGAACGCCACAGAGGCAACAAAAGCCAAAGUGGGGAGCUGGAAAAAAUUUGAAGGAGGUGAUAAAUUUGCACUUGGUGAAUGCAAACAUGUGCUGAUGUUAUGAAAUACUACAGUUCCGCACAUAAUAUCACCCAAAGAACAACUAAGGGAAGGGAGUGCACUGAUGUGCCCAAAUCAAGGCUGUCAUAUUCCUUAAGCCAAAGAGUCUGGCAAUUUCUUUUCAUUAAUUCAGAUAAAGUGCAACCAUUUAGCCCAUGCAAUACACUAUUGUGUGCUUUCAAGUAGUUUUCUUAAAGCAACCAUAUUGUAGGGCUUUCUUGGCAAGGUUUCUUCAGAGGAGGUUUGCCACAGCUUUCCUUUUGAGGCUCGGAAUGUAAUUUGCCGACGAAGUAUUAUGCCAGUAUAUUUCUGAGAAAUCUCCUAAAAUGUAUCCCAUGCCUUUACUGGAAUUACACACUUAUUGUUUAGAUGCUAGAACUGUCCUCUUAAGCUUUCUUUAGUUAGUGCAUCACUUUCAAAGCCAUUCUUUGACAGUGUGCCAAGAACUGAUGCUCUGUCCACAUAAACAAUGCAACAUUGAGCGUUCAUUUGGAAACAUCCUAUCAAAAUGCAAAGGCAGGUAUGAGAUAAUAAAGUGCAUUUUCUACAAACAAACAGAGGCAAAGAUUAAAGAACAGGAGGGGAAUGGACCUGAAAAGGAAUAUACGAAGCUGUCUUCUCCCAGAAUCGGACCAUGGGUCCAUUUGAACCCAGAGCUAUCUGCCAGUGGGUAGCACCUUGCUAAAUAACAGACAGGGUGUGUGCAAGGCCAUAGCCAGAAAAAAAAU